AGAGUUUGAUCAUGGCUCAGAACGAACGCUGGCGGCAUGCUUAACACAUGCAAGUCGAACGAAGGCUUCGGCCUUAGUGGCGCACGGGUGAGUAACGCGUGGGAACCUGCCUCUUGGUUCGGAAUAACUGCGGGAAACUGCAGCUAAUACCGGAUACGUCGGUUGGCUAUGGUGGUCAGCUGGGAAAGAUUUAUCGCCGA
rnacentral:rRNA from 1 species